rnacentral:rRNA from 1 species
GACGAACGCUGGCGGCGUGCCUAAUACAUGCAAGUAGAACGCUGAGGAGAGGAGCUUGCUCUUCUUGGAUGAGUUGCGAACGGGUGAGUAACGCGUAGGUAACCUGCCUUGUAGCGGGGGAUAACUAUUGGAAACGAUAGCUAAUACCGCAUAACAAUGGAUGACACAUGUCAUUUAUUUGAAAGGGGCAAUUGCUCCACUACAAGAUGGACCUGCGUUGUAUUAGCUAGUAGGUGAGGUAAUGGCUCACCUAGGCGACGAUACAUAGCCGACCUGAGAGGGUGAUCGGCCACACUGGGACUGAGACACGGCCCAGACUCCUACGGGAGGCAGCAGUAGGGAAUCUUCGGCAAUGGGGGCAACCCUGACCGAGCAACGCCGCGUGAGUGAAGAAGGUUUUCGGAUCGUAAAGCUCUGUUGUAAGUCAAGAACGGGUGUGAGAGUGGAAAGUUCACACCGUGACGGUAGCUUACCAGAAAGGGACGGCUAACUACGUG